GCAGCAGCCGCGGGAAUACGGAGGGUGCAAGCGUUAUCCGGAUUUAUUGGGUUUAAAGGGUCCGUAGGCGGAUCUGUAAGUCAGUGGUGAAAUCUCACAGCUUAACUGUGAAACUGCCAUUGAUACUGCAGGUCUUGAGUAAAUUUGAAGUGGCUGGAAUAAGUAGUGUAGCGGUGAAAUGCAUAGAUAUUACUUAGAACACCAAUUGCGAAGGCAGGUCACUAAGAUUUAACUGACGCUGAUGGACGAAAGCGUGGGGAGCGAACAGGAUUAGAUACCCGCGUAGUCCCUGUCUCUUAUAC
rnacentral:rRNA from 1 species